GUGUUAAGCGUUGGUGGGCACGACCUUCUUAUAAGUCUAAUAAAGUGGAUUCUUUGCUACUUGAAAGGUACUUCUGAUUUUGGAUUAUUGCUUGACAAGAAUUCAGUGAAGAAAAUUGGUGUCAUGGGAUUUGUUGAGGGAUUUGUUGAUUCUGACUUUGCUGGUGAUCUUGAUAAGAGACGCUCCAUAUCUGGUUAUGUAUUUUCAUUAUACGGUUCUGCAGUGAGUUGGAGGGCUUCACUUCAGUUUGUUACUGCUCUUUCCACUACUUAAGCAGAAUAUGUCUUAGCUACUAAAGGGGCUAAAGAAGCAAUUUGGAUGCAAGGUCUUAUUUCUGAACUUGGUGUUUCUCAGGAUGUCAUUAAGAUUUAUUGUGAUAGUGAUAGUGAUAUUUGUCUGACCAAGAAUGACAUGUAUCAAUUCAAGACCAAGCAUAUUGAUAUCAAGUACCACUUCAUUCGUGA